rnacentral:lncRNA from 1 species
GAGAGGGAUGGGUGGCCGAGGCCCAGCUGCCUCCUCUCCCGGAGCCAGGCUGAGGCGGCACGAUGCCGGGAGGCCGGCCUCAGCAGGGCGGUGGUUGGGGAAAUUAUCAGGGCCCAGUUAAAUUCGGAAAACCGGCAUCAUAGUGGGGCUCAACUGCAUGCCGUGUGGCCUCGUUCCCUGUUCCAUCUUGCGCGCUCGCUGCACCACGUUCCUUUAAAAAGAAGCCGUGGGAAGGACGAAUCCUUAGAUUUCCAGCAUUAAGGAACAAGACCCGGCCUUAAACCUCGGCUCUGCUACUUCUCUGCGGGCUCUGGAAUCUGGACCCACUUCUGACCCUCUCCAAGCCUCAGUUUUCCUUCCCACAGAAGGGGGAAAAUGCUUCCCUCAGAGGGGUGUGGUGAAGAAUAAACGAGAGUUCAAUAACAGCUCUUUGUUUGCCAUAAAAGUCAUUCUUUCCACGUGAAUUUCAAAAGCUGAGAACAUUGUCAGUAUUUGCCUGACGUGUCCUUUUCCAGCCUUUUAUUUUCAACCUUUCCUGUUCAUGUGCGUAUAGAUAGCACACCUCUCUCUGUUAAUCCAAUCUGUCGACAUUUGUCUUUUCACUGCCAAGUCUGGACCAUUUAAUCAGCGUUCUCCCUAGCAUGUUUCUAACAUCUUCUCCUCUAUCAUGGCUUGUCUCACUUCGUCUGUUCCUAUGCUCUAUCCCACCGGGCGGGGAGGUAGGAAGGUUGGGGGAGGUGGUUAGAGCUGAUGGCAGCAAGUAGAAGAGUCCAAAGUAUUCAGUGAGCAACACCUUUCUGAAAGCUACCAAGGGCCCUAGGCAAGGCACAGAAAUGUCAGGAAGCAUGAAAGGGGCCAAGACAUGAUCUACGGGUUAAGCGCUCAGGAUAGGCUCUAGGUUGCCCAUCCAGCAGCCAUCCCCAUUCUUCCUCAUUAACAGGAUCCCAACUUUGUGUCAGAAUUUGAUAGGUGAUGUCUCAGAAGGUGGCUCCAUCCCCCAGGCCCACACUAGUUCUAGGUCGAGAACUACAAUAGUUCUAAAGCUAUCUGGUUAAUCCUUACUGUCUUUUCCAGGGAUCAGUCUAAAACAGGCAUUUGACUCAGUUCUGGCCAAUUAGAAUUAGGGAAAGUUUGCUAGGGGGCUUCUGGGAAAGACUUCCUUGCCUGGAUUGGGUAGGGGGAGGGGGAGAGAGGGAGAGAGAAGCAAGAGAGAGAGAAGUGCAAUAAGAAGG